rnacentral:lncRNA from 1 species
GUCUUGGUGGUGCUAUUGGUGGUGGUGGGAUUGGCGGUGGUCAAGGUGGUUGUGCUGAUGGUGGUGCUGGCUCUAUCCUUAACCCUUGAUUCCAUUUCAUGGGAUUUUUUAUGUUUAGUGUUUCUGUUGCAUGCAGAUGCAGUUAGUACAUGUGUUUAGUUACUUUUCUGUUUUAUUCACUGUUGAUUUUUUUUUCCCUUUUCCUUUUUUUAGUAUUGUUCGCUGUUUUAUUGUUUUGGAAUUUUAUUAGUAAUAUUUGCCAUUUCUUUACUAAAAUAAUUAUCAAAUUACUUUCACAGUUUGUUCUUAAUUAAUUGUGGAUCAUAAAUAAUUUCAAUUUUACAACAAUGUCUUAACUAACAUAAUAAACAAUCUUAAUCUCGUAAGAGUGAAAAUAUAAAUUUAAUAUAGAGCAGCAGAAUUCUAAUAAAGACAAAACUCUUAUGCGCUAUGCUCAAAAGAGAGUUUAUUCACGCAAAAAAUGGUGAAACAACGGCUCCUAUAUAGUUUUACAACUAAAAUGAUUUAAUUUGAUAGUCAAUUCUGAUUAAAGGAUACGGGAUCUUUGCCAUUCCAUAUCACUCUUCAGAGGUAAAUGAUAUGGUUCUUGAAUUGUCUAAUUUUAGCAAGUUCAUUGGAACUACUAGUUAAUUAACAGUCAAUUCUGAUUAGAGAAUUUUAGAGACGUAUUAAUAUUAAGAUAUGUUUUCAAACGGUUUAAUUAAUGGAAAUAUAUUGUAUAUGUUUUCAAGUAAUUUUUACUCCAAAGAUUAAAGGAUCCAAAAUUUUAAAAUCAUAACUUUUAGAAAUAUUUAUUUAAAUAUUACUCAUAACCGGAUGUGAAUUGUUCUAUAUAUAUUAUUAAUUUGUUGUUGAGCUAAAAUGCCCAAUAUUUUAUUAGUUGCAAGAAGGACCGGCAACCCUCUAAUACUUCAAGAAUAAAAAUUUCAAAUACAUCAAAAAUGAAAAUAGUGAAAUAAAAAACAUAAUGAUGUGAUUUUAAAAUAAUAUCUAUUGAUAUAAAAAUAAUUGUUUUAACAUUAGAAUGCAUAUAUUAUUAUUGAUAUAUUUCUGAUAAAUGUAAUUUGAAUUUAAUGGAUGAUACGAUCAUUUUUAUAUUAUAGUAAACCGAGGAGAAGAUCCAUCUCCUACCUUUCCUUUCCUUCCAAUAAUAUACAUAUCAGAAAUGAAUCAGAUUCGUACAUUAAUUAUUAAUACAUUGGCUUGGCUUCCAACUACUUGUCAUUGUUCAAUGCCUGUGAAAUUUAAAACUUCUCUGCUGCUUUCAGACUUUCAGUUGGCAUGUCUUCAUCAUUUUCUUUUUUUUUUUUUCAAAAAAAAAAAUUUUAUUAUUAAAUUUUUUUAUAUAUUAAUUAAAAGUUCUUUGAGCAAGAGCCUAAGAUCGAGGUGUCUCUCAAAAUUUGAAAAUUUUCUAAAAUAUAGUACUAAAAAUAACAAAUAACAGGCUUAGCUUAAUGAAAUGUGAUACCUAUAAUAUAUAAAAUAAAAAAAAAACCAAAUAACAUUUUUUUGGGAAAAAAAAAAGGAAAUUCGAAGGAUACAUAUUAAGGGUUAAAUAAAAAGAUUGGUAAUAAUAAAGUAAUUAGGUUAAUAGACUUUCUUGCUGUAGCUUAUUAUGAAAAAAAAUAAUUGAUAUAAUUGAAUUUUUAAUUUUUUUUUUAAUUCAUUGGAGGUUUUUAUAGGCCGAAAUAAUAUUGCAGGUUACAAAAAGGGGUAGCCCUUUCCUUGACUCACCAAAUUGGUGAAAACAACUAUAGUCGAGAGAAUUCGAACUCGAAAUCAAUCAAAUCACCACCUGAUCGGCACAAUUGAACUUUUAAUUGAAAUAUAUAAUUAACUUGAUUUGAUAUUAUAUGAAGUGUUAUUGCAUGAUAUUAUUAAUUUUUAGAAUCUUAAUUAUUGAAUAUUUAAAUUUGUAGUAUGAGAAAUUAUCAUAUUCACAUAUAUAUUUUAUCUUCCAUUUCUUUGUCUGUGUUACUUGUCGCAGCAGGAAGCACCAAUGCAUGGCUCACAAUCUGCCACUAAUUUUCCCUCUGCUAAAUUAUAAAUGCCAUUAAUUCUGGCUGUUGAUCUCCCCGUAACAUGUACUAAAGAAAAAAAAAAAAAAAAAACUCACUUUACAAGAAAAAAAGGAUUAAUCAUGGAUAUACCAUUUACUUGUAUUUAACUCCAUUUACUGCUUUCAACCAUUCCAUACUGCUUCAUUUGCCGCUCCUUUUGCCUUUAAAAAGGGCUUCACAAAAACACUUUGAGAUAUCCCUAGAGAAACAGAGGAGAGAGACAGAGAAAGAUGGCUAGGUGGUGUCUUAGUGUUAUGGUUGUGCUUGCUUUAGUAGCUGUGCAAACUAGUGCUAGAAACGUUCCUAAAGUUGAAAAUAUGGCUACUACCAAAACUAAUGUGCCUAGUAAUAAUGCUGGUCUAAAUGACCAAAAGAACUUCCUCACCUACGGUGGUGUUGGUGGCUACAGUGGUCUUGGUGGUAAUGGUCUUCCAUUCGGCGGGGUUGGAGGACUUGGUGGAGUCACUGGCCUAGGUGGCACUGCCGGCAUUGGUGGGUUUGGUGGAGUUGGUGGUGGAAGUGGUCUUGGUGGCCUUGGUGGCUUGGGUGGUGGUGUUGGUGGUUUGGGUGGCGUUGGCGGUGGCGGUGGCGUUGGCGGCGGUGUUGGCGGUGGCGUUGGCGGAGGCGUUGGCAGUGGAACUGGCGUUCUUCCUUAUCCAUGAAAAUAUUGAUCUCAUUUCUGGUUUAUAGCCAGGGUUUAUGAAGAACUCUAUUUUUAUGCAUGGUUAUUAAGUUGGUUGUGUUUGAGGGUUUAUGUAAUGGUUUAAUUUUAAUUACUUUAUGUUUUGCUUGUUUAUUAGGGUUAGUUGGGUGUGUCUCUUUACUUUGAGUUCGAGAUUUUCAUUGUCAUGUUUAUGUUUGAGUGGAUCAUAGUUACAGAAACUUGAGUUUAAUUAAUGAGUUCAUGUUUAUUAUAUUGUGUUCGUGUUUAAUUUUUUUUGGUUCAGCUAAUUUUCAUUUUAAGAUACAUUUUGAUAUGAUUAAAAACAAC